ensembl:lncRNA
AGAGAGCUUGCUCCUUUUUUAAAGCAGAUUUGAUGGAGGCGGGAUCCCUGUCUGUUCCUUCCUCUGGGCUGAGCUGGGGGCUCCAGGUCUCUACGAGACAUCCAGCUGCUGGUGUCAAUGCCUGCCCUGCCUUACCGACCACACUGGACUUGUUGUCCGGGUCACACAGCUCCCUGAUCAGACCUUCCCUCAGCAGAGCCGCUCCUGUCCCUGGCCCUGGGGCCCCCUGGCUCCUGGCCUGUCUCAUUCUCACUUACGGCAUAUCUCCACUUCCAGAUGGUGCCUCUGCCCCACGCGAAGCACAUUUUUAAGGAGUGUCUGCUGAUCGGGAUGGGAGGAGGCUCAGGGCUGAUGGUGGUCACAGAGGCGGGCUGGCAGCUCCCACGCUCCACUCGGCCCAACGCCCAGCUUGGGAGGCAGCUGGGAUGAGCUGACGCAGAGAAAGCGACUUUCAAAAUGGGCCCUGCAGGGGUGAGGGUGCUCUCGGCAAGAACAUCACCCAGGCUCCCCACCCCCAAGCUGGCUUUGAUCUGUGGUUCUGGGUCAAUAAAUGAGCACCAUCCUGCUUCAUCAGGGUCACCCAUUCCCUCCAUGAGGGCUUUUGAAGACAUGAGACAUCUUGACUUCUAUUUCCCCGACACCCGUCUCUCUGCCAGACCCAGAGGGCUCGCAGGAGGCUGUACUGUCCACAACCCGGCCUUCCGCGUCGCUGCCGAACAUCCGAAGAAGGACAGAAAGGCGAUGCACGUCUGUCUCUCGCCCCAGCCAGCUGGAGGUGCUCUGUGAUGACAGUCCUGGCAGACUAAUUCAUCAGUUACCAACGUGAAGUGAACUGGUUUGCAAAACACCUGAAAAUUCAACAACUGGCUCUUUAAGGACCGGGGACAAGGAAACCUCAUCCUGCUUACUACCGCACUGCAGGUGCAAGUCCCCGGCCUGCCCUUCUCUCCUCUCCUGAGCCCAGCUCUUGUGGAUGAAGAUCUAAAGAGAAAUCUGGAUGCAGAUUCACCCUUCAUCCUUCAAGCCCCCCAGUCAGGGGUAGACCGGCUUUAGCACUUUCACCAGAAGCCCGUCUCCCCAGCAUUACUGACCCCAGCUGCUGUCCAUCUGUCUUUUGCGCUUCCGGGGUUACUUUUCAGUGUAACCAACGAGUUCAGCACUUUGGGACUCAAACAUCUGACGGAGGUGCCAGUUGAGGCUCUGCCAGCCGUGCUCCCGCCACGCACCGCACCGUACCGUCCCGGCGUCGGUUUAACCAGCCACCUGCCCGCAGGAGGACAUCAGGCCCCUGGGAAACACGAGCCGGGUUGUCACCUUCGUGUCCCCAGGACUCUGCCAUGGCACGCAGGGCCAGGUGUCCGGUGAGAGUCCCAGCACACCCGCACGCUGGCGGAGCUACAGAGGUCACGGGUGCGGGCUCAAAGGCGACACGAGGCGGCUUUUACGUGAAGCAGCACUGCUGCACGGGCAUCGCGUGGCCACCCACGUGACUCUUCUCCGCAAGGGCCGCUACUCAUCUGAAAGGGAGCGAUCUCACCAUUUGUUCAGAAACGGUGCACUUCAGAGGGACAUGCUGGGCUGUUUCCAGAACUUGUUUAAACAGACGCGAGAUGGUCGUUAGGGUCCCUGUACUGUGAAUAACCUCAGUGUCCGUCCUGGCCACCCAGCCUAUGCGUGAUGAGGACGAAGAGUGGGAGAACACACUCUGUGUGGGUGGGUGUGUGCGUGUGCUCGUGUACGCGUGUGUGUGUGCACACUCACCUCUGUGGACACGUGCGUGUUUUAUGUACAGCUAGGAAGGACCAGAACAUGCUACCAGGGCAAACCUGGGGGACCUGGGUGUCCUCUUGGCGCGCACCGGAACCCUGCCUCUGCCCCUGCUAGCAGAGGGCAUAACUCACACACCAUCUGAGAGUGGGGAUCGCUCCUGCCAAAGCAGAAUGUUAGGAUGGACAUCGCAGGCACGGGAGGACCCGGGGGUGCUGGACUCAGCCGCGAGCCCCAUUCAAAAUACUUCAGGAAAGUCUCUGACUCCAUUUAAAGGGGGACGAUAUGGGCUUCCUUGGGGGCUCAGUGGUAAAGAACUCGCGUACAGUGCCAGAGCCACGGGAGAUGCGGGUUCGAUUCCUGGGCUCUGGAGGAGGGCAUGGCAACCCACUCCAGUAUUCUUGCCUGGAGAAUCCCCAUGGACAGAGGAGCCUGGCAGGCUACCACCCACAGAGUCGAAAAGAAUCAGAUACGACUGAAGCAACUGGGCACACAGGCACAUUAUGCCUUUGGAUCACACUUUACAGAAAGGUGGAUGAACAUGAUGGAGGGUGUGCCCAGGUGUGCCCUGCACCCCCUCCGCCACAGCCACCUAAACCCCCAUCUCUCUCCC